rnacentral:rRNA from 1 species
AGCAGUCGCGGUAAUUCCAGCUCCAAUAGCGUAUAUUAAAGUUGUUGCAGUUAAAAAGCUCGUAGUUGAAUUUCGAGAUCAAAUUGUUGGUCGUGCCUCGGUACGUACUGGCAUUAUUGAUUUCUCCCUUCUGAAGAACCUUGAUGUCAUUAAUUUGGUGUCUUGGGGAAUCAGGACCGUUACUUUGAAAAAAUUAGAGUGUUUAAAGCAGGCUCACGCUUGAAUACAUUAGCAUGGAAUAAUGAAAUAGGACGUUUGAUUCUAUUUUGUUGGUUUCUAGGAUCGACGUAAUGAUUAAUAGGGGUAGUUGGGGGCAUUAAUAUUCAAUUGUCAGAGGUGGAAUUCUUGGAUUUAUUGAAGACUAACUACUGCGAAAGCAUUUGCCAAGGAUGUUUUCAUUAACCAAGAACGAAAGUUAGGGGAUCGAAGACGAUCAGAUACCGUCGUAGUCUUAACCAUAAACUAUGCCGACUAGGGAUCGGAUGAUGUUAAUUUUUAAUGACUCAUUCGGCGCCUUACG